rnacentral:piRNA from 1 species
UUCUUCAGCAUCAGACCUAUUUUCAAUU